rnacentral:rRNA from 1 species
CGGGGGGGCAAGCGUUGUUCGGAAUUACUGGGCGUAAAGGGCUCGUAGGCGGCCAACUAAGUCAGACGUGAAAUCCCCAGGCUCAACCUGGGAACUGCGUCUGAUACUGGAUGGCUUGAAUUCGGGAGAGGGAUGCAGAAUUCCAAGUGUAGCGGUGAAAUGCGUAGAUAUCUGGAGGAAUACCGGUGGCGAAGGCGGCAUCCUGGACCGACAUUGACGCUGAGGAGCGAAAGCUAGGGGAGCAAACGGGAUUAGAUACCCCGGUAGUCCUAGCCCUAAACGAUGAAUGCUUGGUGUAACGGGUAUCGAUCCCUGUUGUGCCGAAGCUAACGCAUUAAGCAUUCCGCCUGGGGAGUACGGUCGCAAGGCUG